rnacentral:rRNA from 1 species
UACGAAGGGGGCUAGCGUUGCUCGGAAUUACUGGGCGUAAAGGGCGCGUAGGCGGCGCAAGUAGUCAGGCGUGAAAUUCCUGGGCUUAACCUGGGGGCUGCGCUUGAUACGCUUGUGCUAGAGGAUGGAAGAGGCUCGUGGAAUUCCCAGUGUAGAGGUGGAAUUCGUAGAUAUUGGGAAGAACACCGGUGGCGAAGGCGGCGAGCUGGUCCAUUACUGACGCUGAGGCGCGACAGCGUGGGGAGCAAACAGG